CCCCCUACCAAUUAAUAGGGUUUCGGUCGUGUCAUGAUGUGUAUUAAUGGGAGUUCGUUCAGCUUGGUCUGAUGUGAUUAAUGAGGAGUUGGUCCAGUUGGUCUGAUGUGAUUAAUGAGGAGUUGGUCCAGUUGGUCUGAUGUGAUUAAUGAGGAGUUGGUCCAGUUGGUCUGAUGUGAUUAAUGAGGAGUUGAGUCCAGUUGGUCUUGAUGUGAUUAAUGAGGAGUUGGUCAGUUGGUCUGAUGUGAUAAUGAGGGAUAUCCAGUCUGAGGAGUUGGUCCAGUUGGUCUGAUGUGAUUAAUGAGGAGUUUGGUCCGGUUGGUCUGAUGUGAUUAUGAGGAGUUGGUCCAGUUGGUCUGAUGUGUUAAUGAGGAGUUGGUCCAGUGCGUUCUGGUGAUUAAUGAGGAGUUGGUCCAGUUGGUCUAAUGUUGUAUUAAUGAGAGAGUUGGUCCAGUUGGUCUGAUGUGAUUAAUGAGGAGCAUCCAGGACUGAGAGUUGGUCCAGUUGGAUCUGAUGGAUUAAAUGAGAGAGUAUCCAGA
rnacentral:lncRNA from 1 species